GCAUUCCCCCAGAUACCCUGUCCUCAUUAGACUCAAUUAAAACGCUGGAGUCCAAAAAGGACCUGCAACAUGCUCUAGGGCUGCUCGUAUCCUGGAGAAAGCACAUUCCCGAUUUUUCAGUUUUCCUACUGAAUCCUUUAGUCUCCGAAUAGCGGUGUGCACCGAUUCGGAGUGAUCUGAUAAGUUCAUACAACACAUUCCGUCAAACUCCUCACAGCCAUGUCCUUGUGCUAAUAACAGGAAAUCUAUAGCAGCUCUAUUUUGCAGAGUUGCAUGCCGCACAGAGUCUAUAUCUAUUAAUAGCCCGCUCAAAGCGCUAGAGGUUUCGUUAGUUUGCUUGGCCAGCCAACAUCCUAAUUUAUUCAGAGUGGCUAAUGCUUGGGCUGUGGCGACUCCUGGCGUAAAAAGGGAAGCCAAGAUUAUUUCUGCACUACUCCAGAAUUCCACAUCAUCAUUGCAAUCACUUUGAUAUGCAUGGAGGGACCUUCGCAACUUUCUGUGCUUGUGGUACCUUGUAAAAUUGAGAAUUUGGGAAGUAUUUGGUGUCAAUAGCGUCAGCCUUCCCAAACUGCAGGAUCCUCCCCUGAUGUGGGAGGGUAUCCCUCCCCAUGCUCUAUCACCACAUAUGAAGAACACUCCCCAAGGGAGCGCCAAGGGCGCAUUGCUGGAGCGGGAAAUGUUUCGGCUAGUAUAAUUGCACCAGAUUGUGGCAUUUCUAUACACUACUAAGGAGGAAUUAACAUUUUGAGCUUUUGAUUGAUUUUGACCAGUAUAGUUAAAAUGCAAACAACUGUCCAUCUUAAUGGAUCCCAAGAGUUCGAGUUCCUGUGGUUCCGCAGGGAGGUGGGAUAGGUAAGCGCUCCACCCAUCCCAGUUGUCCGCACAGGAAUUCAUGGUUUUACACAGGACCGACGUGUGGUCGUGUGCGGGCCAGGUGUCCACCAGAACUCCAACUAAGCACGUAGAGAAGGGGUUCCCUGGUGUAGACAGGGAGAGGCACAGAGUGUCCUGACCUGUCUUGUUUGCCAGGGUCACCCAUACGUUGUUCUUGGGCUGAGAUGGGAUCCACAUGGCCCCCGCUCGUAGUCCUAUGAGCAUCACGAGAAUGCACUUCCUCAUCCCGGAGGGUCUCCUGCGUCUGCUCGCGCUGACUUGUCCUUCAGAUAGGGCCGGACGCAGCGAGCCAGGAUCCACCGGGGACCUUGAUCUGCUUUUAUGGCUUUUAGCGUCUCUAGUACUAGACGCCAAGUGGUCAUUAUAACUGAUGCCGUACAAUCUCCCUUCGAAGCGGCGUCCCAGAUUAAUUCUCCUGCAUGUUCCCAAGUUCCUGGCAGGAAGGCUGUGGUUGAAUCAGCCGGGACGCCGUUUACUCUUAGCCAUUUUAACAAAAGCUUCAACUUAUGUUCAUCAUACUUAAUACCCCGCCUUUGCAACAAUUUAAGCAAUAAUUUCAAUAUAGCCUCUUCUUCAGGUGACAUCUGUGCUCCCAUUCUUUCUCCCUUCUCUUUUUUUAUUUAAAUUAUCCAGCCGCUCAUCUGAUCUCGUGGAAAGGUGAUUGCCCGGGCGUGUGCUCAAUCAGUCCUGCUGAUGAGACGAUCGUUCGGCUGGAAGCUCUCCCGGGCGCUGUCUUCAGUGCUUUUUCGACCCUAUCACGUCGGGGUCACCAUUUGACAGAGAGUUAAGGCACGGACUCCUGAUGCGGGUGAAUCAGAAGACCCUUUAUUGAGGUUUUACACAUAUACUUAUACCCGUAUAGAUUCUUCAUGCGUAGCCUUCUCACUUGCGAUUCGCUGAUGAUCAUUGUCCAUGCAUUUAGCUCUAGCCUACAAUUGGGUUAAGCUACAGGGACACGCGGCACAUGGGCUGGAUUAGUAGGACGCUGACUUUGUCUUUCUCUGCUUCUUACUUCCCCAUUUUCGCCUUGCGCAAACACCCUUCUUCCUCUUUUCUCAUUGUUCAAGGUCCUUCAAGGACUUUACAGCAGUUCUAUCGAACUGCCUGCUAGCUCCUCCACACUAGGUCCCUUCAGCAAACUGGCUAAAGGAAAGUUUGGAGACACUGCUUCCACCCUUGUUGUCCAUCCUUCCUGGAUUUCUAUUUUUCCAAAAUAUACUUCCUGAAGAACACCGAGAAGAUGUAAGCACGCAAUGACUUCUUGCUUCCAUUCCUACCCACAUCACUCUGAAAUAAAGAAAAUCUCCUUUCAUAUCGGCAAGGCAGGGCGGUUAGGGAGUCCAUUGGGAAGUGGGACAGCACAGAACAGAAGUGUGACCCAGCACACCACAUGCUGCUCCUCUCCUCUGAGAAGCUGCAAUUUUUUCUCGUUAGUUUGUCAAAAAUGUGCUGAUAGUAAUACAUGGAACGGUUGCUUCCCACACAUACAGAGGAAAACAGGACUAUUGUGCUGGGUUCCAGUGUUAAAGACUCAAAUGUCACAGUGUUUCUGCCACCUGUCAAAUGAGGAAACAUCAUCCUACUACUGAAUUUUGCUUGCCAGUGAAGACAACCUAGAGUAUUUUCUUUCCCCUAGUGCUCUGCAAGAGAGAGAGAGAGAGCACGCUCUAGAAAUCAGAAAACUAAAUUAGUGGAUGAAUUUUCCAUUGUAGCUGUACACCCGGGCGAUAGACCUCUAUACAUACCCUAGAUUCCAAAUUUAAGCAGUACAUGUUGGACAUGACUUCAGGGAAGGGUCCUCCCCCAGAGCAGGCAACCCCCCAUGCCUCUGGACCAGCACCAAAUCCUUUCAAAAACAAAAAGGGAGUUCAUCAGUUGCCUGGCAUCUCAUGUAGCUAUUUUUGCAAGGGUAAAGCAAGUACCAAAUGCUCCUGCUCUGAUUUGGUAAUGCUUCAUUUCCACUUUGCACUGGCAUGAAGAGUGCCAUGGGUACAAGCCAACAGCAAGUAAACCUCCAUGAAUUUUAAUUAAUCUAGCAAGCACUCUUGCAAAAGAUAGUAAUAGAAGAGUCAAGGAUUAUUUCCAAAACCUGUAAUUCUCUCUUCCUUGAUGACUUUCCUACAUACAGUCUUUAUUCUCUUUUUUCUAGUUAUUCUGAAAGCCCAUGUUGGAUCAUGAAAGCCCAUGACAGAUGUGGUCAGAUGAAACUCAACAGGCCAGUGUUACUCAAGCCACAUCUACACAAAUGUUCAGCGUCUGACCAUGGAAUUCAACUCAACCUUUGAGAAGAAAUCAUCCUCAUUAACACAACUUUAUGUACAAAUCAAAACUAUGUGUGUGCUUUCAAGGAGUGCAGUCCAUUACCCUCGGUAACAGCAGGACUGAAAUACAUCAUGCAUUAGCAUUCCAUCUUAUAAUAUGGUAAAUAGUUUAUUAAUAAAAAAAAAAAGAGUCUAGCUGUUCAAAAAUGGUUAAUGAAUUUGGGCAGAUUUUGUCAAAUGUUAUCAGAUGGAAAAAAUAUCCAUGAAGAACUAUGACAGUAAAGCUCCUUUACCUCUCUCUAAAUGAAUACCCUGACUUCAAUUCCAUCCUCAGCCUGAGGAGAUUUGAAUCUAAAUUUGUUAUUGAUUGCCCUAGGAUACAACGGGAUCAGGUACUCUUGGCUCUUUUUAAUGCUGUUCCACCUUAUAUUCACAGAUAGCUAAGUGCUCACAGGAGUAUGGCACUCGUCACCAGGUGAAUGCACUCUAACCACUGAAUUCAGUCCUUGGUCACACUCUGGCCCAAUGCAUGUUCAGGGAAACUAGAGCAGCUGCAGUCAGGGAUGCUGAAGGUGCAGUCAGGGAUACUGAAGGAAGCAAAGAGUACCCCUGCAUACCUCACUGUCAGCUGAACAGGACAUUCGGGAGUGAGGCAGGAAAUCCUCCUUCGAAUACAUUGCCAAAGAACAAACGUGAUCCAAGGUCUUUUGUCCUUCCAUCCUGCCAACCUCAAUUUCUCAGUUUCAAGAGGCAGACAUGCAUUCAUUGAUUGCACAGGUUUAUUUUAAGACAGUUUAGCUUUUCAGACACUAAGAUGUUUCCUGGACUUGCCCAAUUCACUGAGAACACCAGCAUUACAGAUUCCCUUUUAUGCCAGACUUAAACACCAUGUCUUCAUUUUCAAUUUUAUUUUUAUAUGUUCUCAAGGUGUAUAUUUAGUUACAUAUCUAUUUAUUUGAGGUAACAAUUUCAUCUGACUGUGUGGAUGCCACUUUGAUUUAACUGUGUAUCAUGAGAAUGCUCAGUCCCAGCAAGUACCAUCAGAGAGGCUUUCCCUCCUCUUUACCUGUUUCUUCCCAAAUCCUCAGGUCCCAAUGACCUGCAAUCAGCUUCUAAGCUCAGCAUUAAAGGCACAGUGUUCAAUACCAUAAAGCUGGUGCAAUUCAGGUACAGAACAUCUGAAAUCAAUAACCAUUAAUCAUAUGACAGUCUCCAGUCUGGAUAUGGAGCCAAAGUAAAUUUGCCUAAAUGUGGUCAUAGUCUCAGAUAUAAAAUAUAUAUGUAUAUGCAUUCCUGUGGGAGAUUCCAUAUUUUCUUAGGGGCUCAGACACAAAGAAAUGCUGAAAUUCCUAGUGUAAAGGUGACAGAAAGUAUCUAGACAGAGCUGAAACUGAUAUUCGACUUUGUCGAAUUGACUAAAAAGUUCUACCAAAGGACUUCAGGCCUGCCAGAGACUGGAAAAUAAAGCAGGUUGAGCAAGUGUUCCUAUUUUUAGCUUAGCUUCUUAGGCUUGUGUAGUCAUGCUUCCCAUGCUCCACCUCCAAGACUUUUGACCCCGGUGACUGAGCUAAUCCAAACUGGUCAGAAUAAAAGAGGUCAUAGAGAAGAAAGGUCCUAAAAUAGCCUGCAGAGAAGAAGGAAGUGACCCCAUAGGUAUUGGCAACUGUAGGAAAUCUGCAGAAGUGGCACACGUUAUUUGACACAGUGGGUCCCUAUGGAAGAAGAAGGAGAAAAGACAGAGACUGCCCUGAUACAUGCCGUCAAAAUGGGAAAAGCUUGAAUUAAACUUUGAUUCAUUUUAGACAUCCAAGUCAUUGACUAAAGAAAGGCAAAUCUGGGAAACCAGUUUCAAUGCUUGCAGAGACACUUGUUUAAAGAAUGGUGUUCCAAUAAUGGAACAGAAGUCCACAGGGAGAGGAAACAUGAGAAAAAAUAAAGAAACAAAAUGGGGCUACUCCAAAAUGUAGAUAUCCCUGACUCAAAACAAAUCAAGAAUAUCUAACUACACAGCACGUAAAAGCACUCCUUAGAGGCUUACAAUUGCACAAAAUGUAGAAGAUUCUGUAAGUGUUACGAUUUUGUGUCAAAAUAGUUUGUACCUUCAUUACAUAUACAACGCUUGCUUCCUUCAAUCAAACUGACAGCGCUUUUGACAAAAGUACUCUAUUCCCCUCCCUCAAGAAAUGCACUGCUGUGGGAAGUGUUCCAAAGGGGAUCCCAAAAGGCUUCAAAGUAUCAGAGAUUUGAAAAUCAGCGACAGAGUGAAAAAAAGAUCCGUUUAGUUUUUAUCAUCAGUAGCAAUCUUCACAUUGUCAUUCUCUUUUCAACCUGAUGUCUCAAAUGCCAGAGCUAAGUGGAUAAUGCUAAAAAUAAAGGGACACCAUCUAAUACAAAAUACAAAGAUUGGAAGAAGGGAGACAGAACUUAAACAAGUUUCUUUUUCAUAUAAAAAAAUAGCUUGACAACUUUCAAGAUCAACCUUUAACCCUGGUUGUCAGAAGAGUAAUACAGACAAUGCAAGCCUAAGUGUCUAUACUGCCCUGCUGGGGGCUGGAGGGUGAUCUAUCAAACUCCUUGUCAGUCAGGCCUUGGCUUCUCCAAAACAGGUGCAAUAUAGGAUAGUGGGCUGGGUUUUUUGCCAUCAGAUGUACACUUAAUACCUGAUUUUCAGAAGUGGCAUGCACUUCUACUUUCCAUGGAAGGUGACUCCAGAGCGUGCUGGGAUUCAUCUUUAAAAAAAAAAAAAAGAAAAUCAAUUCUGUAAUCAUUAGAAGAUGGCAAAGCUACUAGCUUAAACUCAGUGGGUCAAAACCUUCAGACAUUAAGGACGUGCAAUUAUAGUUAGCUGGGCUGGAUCUGAUUUUGUGACAGCGCUGAAAACAUCCCAUUCUGUCCUCUAAUCUCAAUGUAUCCAGAACCCUGCAAUGCUUUAAUGCAUGGACCAAGAGUCGAAAACUGCUGGAAUCUGGAAGAAUUCACAGAAAGUUCUGAAUAAGCAAAACCAGAGUGAAGAAGAGAGUUGAAAGGACAUUCCUUUAAAAGCAUCUGUGAGGAAUUUUAUUUGUUUUGGUAUAACUUUGUAGGGUUCUUUUUUGAGGAUUUAUGAUUUCUUGUGGCAUUAUGUUUGUUUAAGAAACAAUAUUAAGUAUGUUA